CCUACGGGAGGCAGCAGUGAGGAAUAUUGGUCAAUGGACGCGAGCCUGAACCAGCCAAGCAGCGUGAAGGAUGACUGCCCUAUGGGUUGUAAACUUCUUUUAUAAAGGAAUAAAGUGAGGUACGUGUGCCUGUUUGUAUGUAUUUUACGAAUAAGGAUCGGCUAACUCCGUGCCAGCAGCCGCGGUAAUACGGAGGAUCCGAGCGUUAUCCGGAUUUAUUGGGUUUAAAGGGGGCGUAGAUGGGUCGAUAAGUUAGUUGUGAAAUCUUGCGGCUCAACCGUAGCAUUGCAAUUGAUACUGGCAGUCUUGAGUACAGUUGAGGUAGGCGGAAUGCGUGGUGUAGCGGUGAAAUGCUUAGAUAUCACGAAGAACACCGAUUGCGAAGGCAGCUUACUAAACUACCACUGACGUUGAUGCUCGAAAGUGUGGGUAUCAAACAGGAUUAGAUACCCCAGUAGUC
rnacentral:rRNA from 1 species